rnacentral:lncRNA from 1 species
CUUUUGCCUCUUUUAUCAUUUUCAUAAUCUCAACAAAAGAAAAAAGAAAGCUUCCAAUCUCAUUUUAUCUCCAUUACUUUCUACACCAAAAUUGGGUCCCACAACCCGGUUCUUUGUCUAGAGGAUAGCAGUUGAGUACUAGUGGUGGUCUCGGGUAGAAUUGGUAAGAAGACAUCAAACCUUUUGAAAGCUUCAAAGGUAAUACUUCUUAAAACCCUAAUUUGAUUAGUUUAUGGUUAGAUGUUAAUUGUGGCAAUUAGGGUAGAAAUUCGAUUCUUUUUCCGCUGUGCAUGACUUAGUUCUAUCACAUUAGUGGGCACGGGCCAUUCUUUGAUAGAUCUAAUUUUCUCGGGAUCAACCUCUACACCUUCGCCCGCGCGCCUUCGCACGACCCGUGUGCGCCUGGGCCGGUUCAAGCCAAUAAAUUUGGUUUUUGGGCCGGUUCAAGCGGUUUCGGUUGGUUUUUUAGCCGGUUCGAAUUUUUGGGAGUGGUUCUGUACUACACCAAAUUAAUUAUGUAAUAAUUUAGCACUUAGCUUAAUUUAGGAGCCAAAAAUCAGUCCAUUUUAGGGUGUUUUUUUUUAUUUAUGCAUGUGAUGUAUGAUUAAAUUACUUUAAAUUUGUAUGUGCAUUUUGAAUGUCAUAUAGAUUUAAAAUCCCACCAUAGGUUAACAUGUUCAUGCAUUAAAAUGUAUGAUAUAAAGGUUAUAUUGUAUUGUAUGCAUGUUAAUUGAUUAAUAUGGAAAUUAAUUAAUAUGAUUAAUUAAUUAUUUAAUUAAUUAAGUUAUUCUUGAUUAAAUAUGAUUUAAUCAAAUUAAUUAAUUAUUGUUUGAUUUAAUUUAAUUAAAUAUGAUUUAAUUAAAGUUAAAUAAAUUAAAAUCCAUAUUAAUUGAUUGUUUUUAUUAUAUAUUGAUAAAAUGAUUGAUUAAGUUUAAAAGUUUUUAUAAGUGUUAUAAAAUAAAUUAGACUUUUAAAAUCAAUAACAAAGAUUAAAUGCAUGCUCACUUAGGUUAAACAUAUCUUCCAUUUUUCAUAGAAAUAGGUCGAUAUCUUGUAAAACUGGUUACAAAAGGCUCACCUGGUUCAAUCUUGUCAACAAGUCAGAUAAGAUGACUAAGGUUGGAGGUUCUUAAGUUGACGGUUUACGGAACACCUCCUACCUGGAGAUCGUAAUCAGUUCUUGAGCCUAGUUAACCUAGUUUUAUGAGCAUUCGUGAGAGGUGUGAGGUAAUAAAAAUGGUUUUUCACCUAGACAUCAUAGGUUAAAAUCCUGUAUAAUGGUUAUACUUGGAUGUUUUAUCUAGACUUAAGAUUUGUUUAAGUUAGCCUAAAUAUAAAUCUUGAAGUUUGGAUUACCCUAUUUUUUCUUUUAGAACACUUCAACUAGAGAAAAAUAAUGUAUUUUAGCUCUAGUGUCCCUAAGAGUUCACACCGUGAGGUCCAUGCAGGGCUUUGUGCCGUGCAUAGGAGCGGCCUCCCUUCGGAGAGUGUUUGCAUGGAUCAAAAUCAAGGUGAAUAGGGGAAGUAGUUCAUAGUAAGUGGGUGAGGGAUUUGUGGCAGCACAUCCCACGGUCUCUUCCAUUAGGUCGCACCGUGAGAUUUCUAUAAUAUGCCUGCUUGUCUGCCCUGGAGCGACGUUCCCUUCGGAGGGUUGUAUUAUAGGAUUCGGAACACCGCGAACUCCAAACUGGAUAGGAUUUCUUAGAUUAGUUUUCAUAAAUGAUUCUAAUCUAUGAAAUCUGAAAAUGGUGGGUAACACUUACAAGAAUUACUAAGUUGUUAGUAUAUUCUUGACUAAAGUAGCGAUAACUAAGUGCUAUAAAGAAUAAAGAGUUAUUCUGAGAUAGCAUCUAGUCAAGAUUGUCUUGGUUCAAAGGAGGAAUAAUCAACUACCCUUCGGAGAAGGUUGUUCUAAACCUUUGAAAUAUUGUUGCAAAUACAAAAUAAUGAAAGGGUACAUUAUUAGUAAUUGCUAAAUUAGAUUGGAUAUUUUUUAUGAUUAUAGUUUUUUCCUAAAAGGAAUAUGUUUGUUUUUCAGCAUGAAUAGCUCAAUAGUUCGACUUUUAGCUUCCGAAAAACUUAAUGGCGAUAAUUAUGCGGCUUGGAAAUCAAAUCUUAACACAAUACUAGUGGUUGGUGAUUUAAGAUUUGUCUUAACUGAGGAAUGUCCUCAAAACCCUGCCUCUAAUGAUAACCGAACUAGUCGGGAUGCAUAUGAUCGAUGGAUAAAAGCUAAUGAAAAAGCCGUGUCUACAUUCUUGCCAGCAUGUCUGAUGUAUUGGCAAAGAAACAUGAAUCCUUAGCCACGGCUAAAGAGAUUAUGAAUUCAUUAAGGGGAAUGUUUGGGCAACCAGAAUUGUCCUUAAGACACGAGGCAGUCAAAUACAUUUACACUAAGCGUAUGAAGGAAGGGACCUCUGUUAGAGAACAUGUUCUGGACAUGAUGAUGCACUUCAACAUCGCUGAAGUGAAUGGUGGUCCCAUCGAAGAGGUUAAUCAAGUUAGUUUUAUCUUAGAGUCUCUUCCGAAGAGCUUCAUUCCAUUCCAAACGAAUGCGUCUUUGAACAAGAUAGAAUUUAACUUGACAACCCUUCUGAAUGAACUCCAGCGAUUCCAAAACCUUACUAUGGGUAAAGGAAAACAAGUGGAAGCAAAUGUUGCUACCACAAAAAGAAAAUUUAUAAGAGGAUCGUCCUCUAAAACCAAAGCUGGACCCUCAAAACCUAAUGCUCAAAUAAAAAAGAAGGGAAAGGGAAAGACUCCCAAACAGAACAAGGGUAAGAAAGGUGCAGAAAAAGGUAAGUGUUACCAUUGUGGCCAAAACGGGCACUGGUUAAGAAACUGCCCAAAAUACCUUGCAGAAAAAAAGGCAGAGAAGGAAACACAAGGUAAAUAUGAUUUACUAGUUGUAGAAACAUGUUUAGUGGAAUAUGAAAAUUCUACCUGGAUACUAGAUUCAGGAGCCACUAAACCAUAUUUGCUUCUCAUUUCAGGAAAAUAGUUCUUGAAAAAGCUUUCAGAAGGCGAGAUCACUCUCAAGGUUGGAACAGGAGAGAUGGUCUCAACUUCAGCAGUGGAGAUUUAAAGUUGUUUUUUAGAGAUAGAUAUGUCAUACUUAAGAAUGUCUUAUAUGUACCUCAAAUGAAAAGAAAUUUAAUAUCUAUCUCUUGUAUUUUGGAACAAAUGUAUAGAAUAUCUUUUGAAAUUAAUGAAGCGUUCGUUUUCUAUAAAGGUAUUCUAGUUUGUUCUGCUAUACUUGAAGACAACUUAUAUAAGUUAAGACCAACUAGAGCAAAUUUUGUCUUAAAUACUGAAAUAUUCAGAACAGCUGAAACUCAGAAUAAAAGACAAAAAGUUUCUUCUAAUGCCUAUUUAUGGCACUUAAGACUUGGUCACAUAAAUCUCAAUAGGAUUGGGAGAGUUAAAAGUGGGCUUCUAAGUCCGUUAGAAAAUAACUCUUUACCUCCUUGUGAAUCUUGUCUUGAAGGAAAAAUGACCAAGAGAUCUUUUACUGGAAAAGGUCUAAGAGCCAAAGGACCCUUAGAGCUCGUACAUUCGGACCUUUGUGGACCAAUGAAUGUCAAAGCUCGAGGUGGAUAUGAAUAUUUCAUUAGCUUCAUUGAUGAUUAUUCAAGGUAUGGUCAUAUUUACCUAAUACAUCAUAAGUCUAAUAGUCUUGAAAAGUUCAAAGAAUAUAAGGCUGAAGUAGAAAACGAAUUAGGUAAAACAAUAAAAAUACUUCGAUCAGAUCGAGGUGGAGAGUAUAUGGACUUACGAUUCCGAGACUAUUUAAUAGAAAAUGGAAUCCAGUCACAACUCUCUGCACCUAGUACACCUCAACAGAACGGUGUAUCAGAAAGAAGAAACUGGACCUUGUUAGACAUGGUUCGCUCUAUGAUGAGUUUUUCUCAGAUGUCAGAUUCUUUUUGGGAUAUGCUUUAGAAACAGCUGCUUAUAUUUUGAAUAAUGUUCCCUCUAAAAGUGUUUCAGAAACACCUUAUGAGCUAUGGAAAGGGCGUAAAGGCAGUUUACGUCAUUUUAGAAUUUGGGGUUGUCCAGCACACGUGUUGGUACAAAAUCCAAAGAAAUUGGAACAUCGUUCAAAAUUAUGCUUUUUUAUAGGUUAUCCAAAAGAAUCAAGAGGUGGUUUGUUUUAUGAUCCUCAAGAAAAUAAAAUAUUUGUGUCAACAAAUGCCACAUUCUUAGAGGAAGACCACAUCAGGGAUCAUCAACCUCGUAGUAAACUAGUAUUAAAAGAAAUUUCCAAAAGUGCUAUAGAUAAACCUAGUUCAUCCACUAAGGUAGUUGAUAAGACUAGGAAAUCUGGUCAAUCACAUCCUUCUCAACAGUUGAGAGAGCCUCGACGUAGUGGGAGGGUUGUUCAUCAGCCUGAUCGCUAUUUGGGUUUAAUUGAAACUCAAGUCGUCAUACCUGACGAUGGCAUAGAGGAUCCAUUAACCUAUAAACAGGCAAUGAAAGAUGUAGAUCGUGACCAAUGGAUCAAAGCCAUGGACCUCGAAAUGGAGUCUAUGUACUUUAAUUCUGUCUGGACUCUAGUAGAUCAACCAAAUGACGUAAAACCUAUUGGUUGUAAAUGGAUCUACAAGAGAAAACGAGACCAUGCCGGUAAAGUACAGACUUUCAAGGCUCGACUUGUGGCAAAGGGUUAUACCAGAGAGAGGGAGUAGACUAUGAGGAAACUUUCUCUCCUGUUGCCAUGUUAAAGUCAAUUAGAAUACUCUUAUCCAUCGCCACUUUUUAUGAUUAUGAAAUUUGGCAGAUGGAUGUCAAGACAGCUUUUUUGAACGGUAAUCUUGAAGAGAUCUAUAUGUCUCAACCAGAGGGGUUUAUAAAACAAGAUCAAGAACAAAAGGUUUGUAAGCUUAAAAAAUCCAUUUAUGGAUUAAAACAAGCUUCUAGAUCCUGGAAUAUAAGAUUUGAUAUUGCGAUCAAAAUCUUAUGGCUUUGAACAAAAUGUUGACGAGCCUUGUGUUUACAAAAGGUCGUCAAUUCCAUUAUAGCAUUUUUUAGUCUUAUAUGUAGAUGAUAUUCUACUUAUUGGAAAUGACUAGGAUAUCUUCUGAUAUCAAGAAAUGGCUAGCUAUGCAAUUUCAAAUGAAAGAUCUGGGAGAUGCACAAUACGUUCUCGGAAUCCAAAUUGUUCGAAACCGUAAGAACAAAACACUAGCCAUGUCUCAAGCAUCUUACAUAGACAAAAUGUUGUCUAGAUAUAAAAUGCAGAAUUCCAAAAAGGGUCUGCUGCCGUACAGAUAUGGAAUUCAUUUGUCAAAGGAACAAUGUCCUAAGACACCUCAAGAAGUUGAGGAUAUGAGAAAUAUUCCCUAUGCUUCCGCUGUUGGAAGUUUAAUGUAUGCAAUGUUAUGUACUAGACCUGACAUUUGCUACUCAGUAGGGAUGGUCAGUAGGUAUCAAUCCAAUCAUGGACGUGAUCACUGGACAGCCGUUAAAAACAUUCUACAUGCUCAUGUAUCGUACAAAGGAUCUGAUCCUUACUGGAUACACUGAUUCAGAUUUCCAAACUGAUAAAGAUGUUAGAAAGUCUACAUCAGGAUCAGUAUUUACUCUAAAUGGAGGAGCAGUAGUUUGGAGAAGCAUAAAGCAAACUUGUAUAGCUGAUUCCACAAUGGAAGCUGAUCAUUUUACAAAAGCCCUCAUGGCUAAAGUGUUUGAGGGUCACCUACACAGUUUAGGUGUACGAUGUUUGUAAACUAGGACAAGUGGGAGACUUAUUGGCCAUGUGCCCUAGUUUCAUAUAUAUUCUCUCACACCACAUCUCUCAUACCACUAGGAAUUUUAGUCCAAGUGGGAGUUUGUUGGAAUUUUUUGUCCUAAAACUCGUAGUUUGUAAAUCAUAUUCUAUUCAAUAAAGUUGUUAUUGAGAAAUUAAAUAUUAUAAUCUUAAAUCCAAUAAAUCAAAGUUCCAAGGCUAUUUUUUGAAUAAACUUGAACUUUAUGUGUAAACAUAAACGUGGAUCAAGUUCGAGUAUAUAGCCUAAAUAGUCUAUAGUAUAUGAAAUAAAGGUUGGGCGCCUUAUUUUGAGAGACUAUGGAUGCGGCCCACUUUGUAGUACAAACGAUGUGAUCCUAAUCGUUCAUGUAGAGACAUGAAAGUGGGGGCAUCCUAUGUAAAAUGUUUACAUAAGACUGAACCAUGAAUUAGUCAUUUUUACGUUAUAACACCGUUUACUGUUUAAAACUGACUAUCUCAAUUAUUGAUGACCUAGGUAACUUAGUCUUAAUCCUGAGUUAACUAUGAACUCCUGUUCAUACGAGAUUAUCCUUAGAUCUGCAUAGGUGAGGGCAGCUCAUCAGCGUUGGCCCAAUAAGCCUCCCAUUUCAGGGGUAAGAUCGGGUGGAUAGCUGGGAACAUAGGGUACAAGAUGGAAUUCACUCCUACCCGCUUUAGGGUUAGUAGAUAGGUUGCUCUCUUAAGCACUGAAUCCAAGUCUUGAACAAGGGGCCCCACCCUCUCAUUGGCCCGAGAGGGAUUAAGUUUAUAGGUUGAACCUUAAACCAAUUGUUCAAUAGUGGAUUAGUGGGACUUAAGGAGCAAGAUGUAAUCUUGGGGUAAAACGGUAUUUGACCCAGCCAAGGUUACGAGCAACCUGUGAAGGAUUAACUUACUGAUUAUGGUUUUAUCAAAUGGACACAAAUAUAUCUAUAGUGAGGGAGUGCAACUACGGGACUUAGUGGAAUGACUCGUUAGUUAACGAAUGUUGAUUAACUCGUUUAAAAGAGUUUAGCUAGUUAAUCUUGAAUCGUUGGAGCCCAUGAUCUAUAGGUCCAUUAGUUCCUCUGCUAGCUCAUAUGGAUUAAACUUAGAACAGUGUGAUGAAAUAAGUCGAAUUGUUCGAAUAGGGAGAAGAAAGGAAAACCGACAUAUACAGUGAUAUAAUCGUCGGUCUUCUAAUUAGAAAUAGAGCUUUAUGUUUUACAUACUAUAAGUAUGAAUGCGGAUUCAUACUAAGAAGCUCGGAAUUGGUCAAAAAUAGUAAAAAGUCAAAAUGUUGACUUUUGACUUUGAAAAGUCAAACUUUGACCGGCCUUAUAUUCAAAUGUGAUUUGAAUUUUGGAAAAAUGAAUGCGGAUUCAUGCUCGGAGGUUGGAAUUAGUCAAGACGGACAAAAUGGUAAAAAGUCAAAAUAUUGACUUUUGACUUAGAAAAGUCAAAGUUUGACUUUUGACUAGAAAAAUCUAAUGACCAUUUUACCCUUGGACUAAGUUAGUGGGAAAAUCCAACAUUUUGUUGGAUAAUCCCACUAACUCUUAGUGGGAUAUGUGCUAUAUGAGAUAUAGACACCUAGCCCACUAAGUUCCACUAAUUGUUAGUGGAAUAUUAGGUGUUGAGAUUUGGCAAUUGAAUUGCAUGCAUUUUUGCAUGUAAUUAGGCUAUAAAUAGAGAUGUUUUCAAAUGUUGAAGGACUUUUGCCUCUUUUAUCAUUUUCAUAAUCUCAACAAAAGAAAAAAGAAAGCUUCCAAUCUCAUUUUAUCUCCAUUACUUUCUACAUCAAAAUUGGUCCCACAACCCGGUUCUUUGUCUAGAGGAUAGCAGUUGAGCACUAGUGGUGGUCUCGGUAGAAUUGGUAAGAAGACAUCAAACCUUUUGUAAGCUUCAAAGGUAAUACUUCUUAAAACCCUAAUUUGAUUAGUUUAUGGUUACAUGUUAAUUGUGGCAAUUAGGGUAGAAAUUCGAUUCUUUUUCCGCUGUGCAUGACUCAGUUCUAUCAUGUGGUAUCAGAGCAUGCUUCAUUUUUACCCAAUUGCAUGUGGUGGGUUCAAAUUUAUUAGAUAAAUUUUGGUUUGAACUAAAAUGGAUAUAUUAUGAUUUUGGCUCUAGAUUAAGUGUUUUUGUUCUAAUUAUUGUAAUUAGCCUUGUUAAUGGCUUAUUUUUAUUGUUGCAAAGUGUUUGUAAUUUUUUUAAAAAAUAAAAAAAGUCAUUAGAGUUGAAGCUAGGCUGUAAUUGGUUCAACCGGGUGAGAGAAUUGAAAAAUGAAGAAAAGAUGGUCACAGACCCGAAAACCCGGUUUUGACCCGCUUCGCGACCCGCACGCGCCCGCAUGCCCGCGCGCCC